CCCUUAUAGGAAAUACGCUAUCCGAAUAAAAGUUGUAUCCGUGACAAAUAUGUUCCUAUGGAUAUAUAUAGUUUUACCAGUAACCCUGGGCUUUAAUGCGACUUGUCCAGACAUGUUACAGAGAGUUAUACGAUCUAAAUAUGUUUGCAAAGAAAGUUCAAUGGAGCAUUAUUCCUGUUUAUUUGAUGAACUUAACCAGUCAUACGUAGAAUCAUGUGCGGAUCCAGAUUUUGUUAGCCAUGGACAAAAAUAUAUUGUCAGCGGGCUACGACGAAAUACUCAUUGUUCUUCUAAAAGAUAUCAACCAUUUAAGUUUUGGUCAAAUAUGUCAAGUCAAUGUAUCUUUGCAAAAUCAACCUGCAAUGAAAUUGGACAAAUACUCGUCGAUAACGUAUCCACAAGUAAAGACACAUUAUGUCGAUGUGACUACACAAAAGGACUUGGCUUUAUUAAAAAACCAAGAAAUUCUUGUUUCUGCAUACCAUCAGAAGAAGACUGUUCAUGUUACCCUGUGUCGUGUCCUCUGAAUUAUACACUUA